rfam:Loxodonta africana cont3.23646, whole genome shotgun sequence.
CCGAGCACAUGGGCCCGCGGGCUGGGCGGGCGCGGGGUGGCCUGGCGGGGAGGCACGGCGAGGAGCCGCGGAGCUGGGAUGGGCCCGGCACUGCCGGAGUGUCCCGCGUGGAUUUCCACGGGGGAGGAUGUGGGCGGCCCGGUGACCUUUGGCGACACGGCUGGAUCCCCCCUCCG